rnacentral:rRNA from 1 species
UACGUAGGGUGCGAGCGUUGUCCGGAAUUACUGGGCGUAAAGAGCUCGUAGGUGGUUUGUCGCGUUGUUCGUGAAAACCGGGGGCUUAACCCUCGGCGUGCGGGCGAUACGGGCAGACUUGAGUACUGCAGGGGAGACUGGAAUUCCUGGUGUAGCGGUGAAAUGCGCAGAUAUCAGGAGGAACACCGGUGGCGAAGGCGGGUCUCUGGGCCGAUACUGACGCUGAGGAGCGAAAGUGUGGGGAGCGAACAGG